GGAAUCGCCCAGCUGUCCCCUCAGACAGCAGCCCGUGGCCGUCCCCUUCGCCGUGGGAUGCGGGGAUUUGGGGCGGCUGAAGGAGUCGGGGCCCCCACCGCUGUAGCGCUGCUGCCCCCAUUAGGGCCUGGAACCCCGAGCCUCCAGCGCUGCUCAGAGUGCCUCCCGGGGCUGAGGUUUCAGUCUGCAUUCUGCUGAUCCGAAAGAAAGAAGGCAACUUUUGGAGGACUUAAUCAUGGCGAGUCGAGCUGCUGCUGAACCUCCCCUUCCAACAUCCAGCAGGUUUGUUCUGCAGGCCCCGAUGAUGGCACAGGCAUGAAAGAGCCCAGAGCUCGUCGCUGGGGAGAGGCUGCGUAUGGCGUUGUGAAGGGAGAGAUGGAGGAGGGGUUUGAGCAGCGCUGUGCAGGAAUGAACGGCUGGUAAGAGAAGAGGCAGGAGUCGGGCAGCGGUACUGCAGCUCCUCUGGCAGCUUUGCAGCACAGCUGGGAAGCAGAAGAUGUGGAUGUGAAAGAAGAAGUCCGUUGCUGGGACGUUUCCCUGUUCUUCCCCCAGCUGUCCCCUUGCCUCAGCCUGGAUUCCCCUUGCAUUCCGACCUCCUUUACACCUCCAAGAUCCCCCCUGGGAACUCACUGACCCCCAUGGUCCCUGACAGGACCCCAUCACCAUCCCAGGACCCC